AGUGAACGCUGGCGGUAGGCCUAACACAUGCCAGUCGAACGGCAGCACAGUAAGAGCUUGCUCUUACGGGUGGCGAGUGGCGGACGGGUGAGGAAUACAUCGGAAUCUACUUUUUCGUGGGGGAUAACGUAGGGAAACUUACGCUAAUACCGCAUACGACCUACGGGUUAAAGCAGGGGAUCUUCGGACCUUGCGCGAUUGAAUGAGCCGAUGUCGGAUUAGCUAGUUGGCGGGGUAAAGGCCCACCAAGGCGACGAUCCGUAGCUGGUCUGAGAGGAUGAUCAGCCACACUGGAACUGAGACACGGUCCAGACUCCUACGGGAGGCAGCAGUGGGGAAUAUUGGACAAUGGGCGCAAGCCUGAUCCAGCCAUACCGCGUGGGUGAAGAAGGCCUUCGGGUUGUAAAGCCCUUUUGUUGGGAAAGAAAAGCAGCAGGUGAAUACCCCGCUGUUCUGACGGUACCCAAAGAAUAAGCACCGGCUAACUUCGUG
rnacentral:rRNA from 1 species